AAAAGAAGUAAGAUCAAAAUAUUUUUCUUUCAAUAAGGCUCAAAGGGGCUAGCAAGGGAUAAUAAUAUUCAAAGGUAGGCUACAAAGGCUCAAGCUCACAAAAACGUGCCUCGGUGCAUUAUUCAUCGCAAUCAAUCAAUCAAGAGAAUUCAAGCAAAUUCUAGAGAAUAGGAGAGACGUGGAACUCACAUAGUCAAGAAAGAAAUUUAAGUGUUUAGGCUCAAGUCCUCACAGUUAGGAUAACAGAGAAGAAUUAGAG
rnacentral:lncRNA from 1 species